GGGACAGCACGGGGCUCAGGGUCAGAAGGCCUGAACUCAGCUUGCCCACCUGGGACUCAAGGGCGCGGGGCC
rnacentral:miRNA from 1 species